CCUACGGGUGGCUGCAGUGGGGAAUAUUGGGCAAUGGGCGCAAGCCUGACCCAGCAACGCCGCGUGAAGGAAGAAGGCUUUCGGGUUGUAAACUUCUUUUAUGAGGGACGAAAGAAAUGACGGUACCUCAUGAAUAAGCCACGGCUAACUCCGUGCCAGCAGCCGCGGUAAUACGUAGGUGGCAAGCGUUAUACGGAUUUACUGGGAGUAAAGGGCGUGUAGGCGGGACUGCAAGUCAGAUGUGAAAAUUAUGGGCUCAACCCAUAACCUGCAUUUGAAACUGUAGGUCUUGAGUGAUGGAGAGGCAGGCAGAAUUCCGGGUGUAGCGGUGAAAUGCGUAGAGAUACGGAGGAACACCAGUGGCGAAGGCGGCCUCCUGGACAUUAACUGACGCUGAUGUGCGAAAGCGUGGGUAUCAAACAGGAUUAGAUACCCCUGUAGUC
rnacentral:rRNA from 1 species